UGGGGGAUAUUGCACAAUGGGCGAAAGCCUGAUGCAGCGACGCCGCGUGGGGGAUGAAGGCUUUCGGGUUGUAAACCUCUUUCGCUAUCGAACAAGGCCCGAUUAGGGUGGGUUGAGGGUAGGUGGAGAAGAAGCGCCGGCUAACUACGUGCCAGCAGCCGCGGUAAUACGUAGGGCGCGAGCGUUGUCCGGAAUUAUUGGCCGUAAAGGGCUUGUAGGCGGCUUGUUGCGCCUGCUGUGAAAACGCGGGGCUUAACUUCGCGCGUGCAGUGGGUACGGGCAGGCUUGAGUGUGGUAGGGGUGACUGGAAUUCCAGGUGUAGCGGUGGAAUGCGCAGAUAUCUGGAGGAACACCGAUGGCGAAGGCAGGUCACUGGGCCAUUACUGACGCUGAGGAGCGAAAGCAUGGGUAGCGAGCAGG
rnacentral:rRNA from 1 species